rnacentral:rRNA from 1 species
UACAGAGGGUGCAAGCGUUAAUCGGAAUUACGUGGGCGUAAAGAGUGCGUAGGUGGUUAGGUAAGUUAGAUGUGAAAUCCCUGGGCUCAACCUAGGAACUGCGUUUAAAACUGCUUAGCUAGAGUAUUGUAGAGGAUAGUGGAAUUUCCAGUGUAGCGGUGAAAUGCGUAGAUAUUGGAAGGAACACCAGUGGCGAAGGCGACUAUC